GAGGGUAUAGCUCAGUGGUAGAGCACGUGCUUAGCAUGCAUGAGGUCCUGAGCUCAAUCCCCAGCACCUUCA
rfam:Camelus ferus unplaced genomic scaffold scaffold386, whole genome shotgun sequence.